UUUAUAUAUCGGCAGCAAAUAUUCUUAAAUUGGAAUGAUACAUAGAAGAUUAGCAUGGCCCCUGCUCAAGGUUGACACGGUGACUGGAAGGUUGCCGGUCCAAAUCCCG
ensembl:snRNA U6 U6 spliceosomal RNA